rnacentral:rRNA from 1 species
GAUCUUCUGUGUGCGCCGCCGCGCCGCGGGGAGAACGCGGGGCGCGGCGGGCGAAGGUGUAUGAAUAAGGCCUUUUGGGUGGUAACUUCUUUUUUAUAGGAGGAAGGGGUUGUGGUUAAUAACCCCAUUGAUUGACGUUACCCGCAAAAGAAGCACCGGCUAACUCCUUGCCAGCAGCCGCUAUAAUAACAAUAAAUAACCU